rnacentral:rRNA from 1 species
AUUGAACGCUGGCGGCAGGCUUAACACAUGCAAGUCGAGCGGGGUGAUGGUGCUUGCACUAUCACUUAGCGGCGGACGGGUGAGUAAUGCUUAGGAAUCUGCCUAUUAGUGGGGGACAACAUCUCGAAAGGGAUGCUAAUACCGCAUACUUCCUACGGGAGAAAGCAGGGGAUCACUUGUGACCUUGCGCUAAUAGAUGAGCCUAGGUCGGAUUAGCUAGUUGGUGGGGUAAAGGCCUACCAAGGCGAAGAUCAGUAGCGGGUCUGGGAGGAUGGGACGCAGAGCUGGGACUGGGAGACGGCCCGGACUCCUACGGGUGGCAGAAGUGGGGAAUAUUGGACAAUGGUGGGAACCGUGAUCAAGCCAUGCCGCGUGUGUGAAUGAGGCCUUAUGGUUGUAAAGAACUUGAAGCGAGGAGGAGGCUCUUUUGGUUAAUACACAAGAUGAGUGGACGUUACUCGCAGAAUAAGCACCGGCUAACUCUGUGCCAGCCGCCGCCGUAA